rnacentral:rRNA from 1 species
ACUCAAAUGAAUAGACGGGGACCCGCACAAGCAGUGGAUGAUGUGGUUUAAUUUGACGCUACGCGGAGAACCUUACCGAGGCUUGACAUCCCAAGAACCCGCUAGAAAUAGUGGGGUGUCUUCGGAAGCUUGGUGACAGGUGCUGCAUGGCCGUCGUCAGCUCGUGUCGUGAGAUGUUGGGUUAAGUCCCGCAACGAGCGCAACCCUUGUCGUAUGUUGUAUUUUUCAUGCGAGACUGCCCGGGCCAACCGGGAGGAAGGUGGGGAUGACGUCAGGUCAGCAUGGCCCUUACGCCUCGGGCUACACACGUCAUACAAUGGCCGGUACAACGCGUUGCCAAACCGCAAGGUGGAGCUAAUCGCACCAAAACCGGUCCCAGUUCGGAUUGGGGGCUGCAACUCGCCCCCAUGAAGUCGGAAUUGCUAGUAAACGUGGGUCAGCAUACCACGUUGAAUACGUUCCCGGGUCUUGUACACACCGCCCGU